rnacentral:rRNA from 1 species
GACGAACGCUGGCGGCGUGCCUAAUACAUGCAAGUAGAACGCUGAAGAGAGGAGCUUACUCUUCUUGGAUGAGUUGCGAACGGGUGAGUAACGCGUAGGUAACCUGCCUUGUAGCGGGGGAUAACUAUUGGAAACGAUAGCUAAUACCGCAUAACAAUGGAUGACACAUGUCAUUUAUUUGAAAGGGGCAAUUGCUCCACUACAAGAUGGACCUGCGUUGUAUUAGCUAGUAGGUGAGGUAAUGGCUCACCUAGGCGACGAUACAUAGCCGACCUGAGAGGGUGAUCGGCCACACUGGGACUGAGACACGGCCCAGACUCCUACGGGAGGCAGCAGUAGGGAAUCUUCGGCAAUGGGGGCAACCCUGACCGAGCAACGCCGCGUGAGUGAAGAAGGUUUUCGGAUCGUAAAGCUCUGUUGUAAGUCAAGAACGGGUGUGAGAGUGGAAAGUUCACACUGUGACGGUAGCUUACCAGAAAGGGACGGCUAACUACGU